rnacentral:lncRNA from 1 species
UUCUUAAUUUGAGUAAAUUCAUUCAAUAUAAAGAAAACCGUUUAUUCUGUACUUAACAUAAUGAGUUUUCCAAAAAUAAGCUAUGAAUAUGCUAUGAAUAUCCAUAUUCAUACCACUUUUUAUUUUUACGUAUAAGAGAAUAAGAGAUGACAACUUUCCUUUCUUACUUGCUUACUGGUUCCUCUAGGGUCUAUAGGGAUGUCCCCCUACUCGUGAACCCAAUAUUCAAUUUAAACAAUUAACUGGUCAUCCCCAUAUCACAUCCGGUAAUGGGCGCCAAAUAUUCCAUCACCUCAAUACCCCGUCUGGUAUGAUGGUGAACCAUAUCUCCUAAACCUUUUCGA